GCGUGAGUGAAGAAGGCCUUAGGGUUGUAAAGCUCUUUCGCCGGGAAAGAUGAUGACGGUACCCGGAGAAGAAGCCCCGGCUAACUCCGUGCCAGCAGCCGCGGUAACACGGAGGGGGCUAGCGUUGUUCGGAAUGACUGGGCGUAAAGCGCGCGUAGGCGGUUCGGCAAGUUGGAUGUGAAAGCCCGGGGCUUAACCCCGGAUGUGCGUUCAAAACUGCCGAACUAGAGACCGAGAGAGGAGGGCGGAAUUCCCAGUGUAGAGGUGAAAUUCGU
rnacentral:rRNA from 1 species